UGGCAGUUGUGGUGUAAGGAUGCUGAAAGAGAUUGCCAUGCUUGAAAGUAUACCUGCUUUAAUCAUUGAAAGUCUUGUUGAAGGUGGAAGAAAGCAUGUGAAGCUGAUUGAAUAUGACCGCUGAACUGCAUCAAGAGAAAUGCCAUCAGAUCCUACACUUUCCUGGGCAUUGUAUAAGAAACCGUUUACUUCACUAUGGCAUUUGGUGAGGUUAAACAUUUCGGUAUUUGUGAUAUUUGAUCUGAAUUUCUGAGGAACCAUGCACCAAAAGGUGAA
rnacentral:lncRNA from 1 species